CUACUUUCUAAAUAGAAGUAAUCCCAAAAUUAAAUGGCCGCAGUAUACCUGACUGUGUUAAGGUAGCACAAUCAAUCGCCGCUUAAUUGGCGGAUAGUAUGAAUGGUAAUACGAAGAUUUCACUGUCUUAAAUAUAGACUACAUGAAAUUGAAAUAAUAGUCAAGAUGCUAUUUUAAAUCGUAAGACGAUAAGACCCUAUAAAGCUUAACUAUAAUUUAUUAUCCUAAUCUACAUUAAUUUCAUAUGUAAUUAUUUUGAUAAACUGGUAGUUUACUUGGGGCAAGGACUUUUUAAAAUAAAAGAAAGUACGCAAAUGUAAUUUAAAUAACUUACUUAUUAUAUAAAAUAUCAUUUUAAUAAUCACAAAUGUGUGCAAUAAUGACCCGUUUAUACUGUAAAAAAAGUUAAACAAUUAUUAAAUAAUAGCUACUUUAGGGAUAACAGGAUAAUUUUAUCUCAGAGCCCUCAUCCAAGAUAAAGUUUGUCACCUCGAUGUUGAAUUAAGAUAUCCUAGCGGUGCAGAAGUUGCUAAAGGUAGGUCUGUUCGACCUUUAAAUAUCUUACAUGAUUUGA
rnacentral:rRNA from 1 species